rnacentral:rRNA from 1 species
AUACGUAGGGGGCGAGCGUUGUCCGGAAUUAUUGGGCGUAAAGCGCGCGCAGGCGGCUCUUUAAGUCAGGUGUGAAAGGCUGCGGCUCAACCGCAGAGCGGCACCUGAAACUGGAGAGCUUGAGUGCAGGAGAGGGGAGCGGAAUUCCCGGUGUAGCGGUGGAAUGCGUAGAGAUCGGGAGGAACACCAGUGGCGAAGGCGGCUCUCUGGCCUGUAACUGACGCUGAGGCGCGAAAGCGUGGGGAGCAAACAGGAUUAGAUACCCUGGUAGUCCACGCCGUAAACGAUGAGUGCUAGGUGUUGGGGGCGUUAGGCCCUCAGUGCCGAAGGUAACCCGAUAAGCACUCCGCCUGGGGAGUACGGCCGCAAGGCUGAA